UACGAAGGGGGCUAGCGUUGCUCGGAAUCACUGGGCGUAAAGGGCGCGUAGGCGGCCAUUUAAGUCGGGGGUGAAAGCCUGUGGCUCAACCACAGAAUUGCCUUCGAUACUGGAUGGCUUGAGACCGGAAGAGGUAAGUGGAACUGCGAGUGUAGAGGUGAAAUUCGUAGAUAUUCGCAAGAACACCAGUGGCGAAGGCGGCUCACUGGCCCGAGUAUGACUGCUGAGCUGAAGGCACGG
rnacentral:rRNA from 1 species